CGCUGUAGUAAAAAGCACUUGAGAUUCCUUUCCGUUUUCAUCAUUAGUGAACCUCAUAUGAAAAUAGCAUAGAAAGUAUGCAAACAUAGAAUUUCAUUCUUAUAUAUUUUCUAAUCUUUAGCUAAAUAAACCUUUUUCUCCCAAAUUCCCUUAACCGACUGGAUGAAAUGAGGAGGGUUUACAGCUGUGUUUUGUGUCAUGGCCUCAAUUUCAUCCAUAUUUCUUAAUAACAACUUGAAAACCUUUUUGUGACAACUUUCCCCUGCGAGAACCUCAAGACAAACCCAAAAAAUACAAAGGAAAUAUAAAUUAACAAUACCAAAAUGUGAACAGUCAGCAAAACUUUUCUGUUGUUUUUGUCAUUCACUGGCAUACAGUUUAACAUGAACCACAAAGCACUCGCUCUCUGGAAAACACACACUAUUAACAGUAUUUUCAGUCACACACACACACGCACGCACGCACGCACGCAUGCACACACACACACACACAGUCUGUGCAUAGACCCAGGUUUAUCUUGUGAAGUAACUGGUAAUUGGAGCUCUUUCUGUCCACUCCACAACUCCCCACUGUGGUUUGUCCUUUAAAGGUAAAUAACCCUUUAACCCAUUUGUUGCUACAGCAACAGAAGCUGGCUCUGGGCUAAAGGGCUUAACACAGAGAUAUGUCAAGAUAGAAAGAUCCAAACACACACUUUCCAUUGUCUAAUUCAGUGCCUUCUAUUGGCACAAGGUAAACAGAAAAAAGGCAACCAUAGAUGCACACCGUGUGGUUAGACCUACAAAAUAUCUGAUUCUGAAAACAGCUCUACAAAACAGCUAAGCGCUUUGUACACUUUUUUUAAAACACCUUUUUGACACCGUCAAAAUUUUGCAUUGCAUUUCUUUAUAUUUCAUUCAAUCAUUGAAAAGUUUCCCCCUCUGAAUGCACAGCGGUGCCAUGCUGACGCUCGCAGAGGAGGAUUCAGCAGAACAUGUUAGUGUCAUCAUCUAAAUCCACUUCAGGGCACUUUUAGAGGUGGCCAAGGCAAACCAACUAUUCUGUUAAGUCUGUCUGACAUUAAAGGGUUUGAAUGAUUGACAUCAAUUAUCCUGCACAUGAGUGAGUUGAGUCUCCAAACCUGCUGAAUCCAGUACAGAAAAUAAAGUAGCCUAGCUGUUAAUGCCUGGUUGUAAUUUAGGUUCAUCAGAAGUCUGUAGAAAGAUAAGAGGGCUGAGAGAGGAUAUGUAGCUGAUAUGAGGACAUGUACAAGUUCUUUGUGCUGUUUGUCGUCUUUCCAUCUUCACUGUGUGUAUCUAUAGAGACCUGUGGUUUUGAACAGUCCUAGUCAGUGCCAACUAUCACUUACAGGGUUGACAGCGAGGCAUCCAGAGCAGCCAGUCGCAACUAUGUCACUGAGAGGGGGGGGGAGAGGGAGGGGGGGGUGGAGCCAUGUUGAGUACUUGCAUGGUCUGUAAAAAGGGGGGCGGGGUCAACUUGUUCUAUUGCACAUACAUCUCUGCCUUUUCUUCAUUUCUGGCUUCCAAAUAAUCUCACAGUUAUAAACAGCAGCAAGUAGCAUUAUUUUUUUGUUUUCUGUUUAAAUAAAAAAAAAAAAAAAAAAAAAAAAAAAAAAG